ensembl:lncRNA
CUGUGCUGUGUGGAAUGUGGAUCUUAUUCCCUGAUCAGGGAUCAAAUAUGUACUCCUAAGUCUGGAAGCAAGUAGAGUCUUCACUACUGGAUCAUCAGAGAAGUCCCCUAGUCAUGUGACUGUACUAUCUAUCCGUCCAUACCUUACUACUCUGUCACUAAAGGUGCCCUAUGUAUUGGAGUUUCUUUCAUCCAAUAUAUUUUGUCCAGCUUUCAACAACAACAACAAAAUUACAAGCUAUAAUAAAAGGCAAAAAAAAAAAGAGAGACACAGUCAUUUGAAGAGACAGCAAGCAUGCGAUUCAGACUCAUGUGCCAGGGAUCUUAGAAUUAUCGGACCAUGCAUUUAAAAUGACUGUGAUUAAUAUGCUAAGGGCACUACGGAAAAAGUAGGUAAUAUGCAAGAACAGAUGGAUAAUGUAACCAAAAUAUAGACAUUCUAAGAAAGACACACAUAGAAAUGCUAGAGAUCAGAAACAUUGCAACAGAAAUGAAGAAUGUCUCUCAUAGGUUCAUUAGUAGACUGGACAUCACUAAGGAAAGACUGUCUGAGCCUGAGAAUAUGUCAAUAGAAAUGUCCAACAGUGAAAAGCAAAGGAAAAAAAAGACUGAAAAAUGGACAAAAUAUCCAAAAUCAUGGGACAAUUAGAAAAGAUAUAACAUGCUAUAUGGGAAUACCAGAAGGAAAAGAAAGAGAGAAACACACAGAAGAAAUAUUUGAGAAAAUCAUGACUGAGAAUUUCUUCCAAAUAAAUAUUAGACAAAACACAAAUCCAGGAAACUUGGAGAAUAUAAAGCAGGAUAAAUGCCAAAAAACUAGGGGAUCUUCCUGAUCCAGGGAUCUAACCCAUGUCUCCUGCACUGCAAGCAGAUUGUUUUACCACUGAGCCACCUGCAGUAUAUGUGCAUCAAUCUGUAAACCUAAAAUUUACAGAAUGUUAUAAAGAAAGCUGAGCACCGAAGAAUUGAUACUUUUGAACUGUGGUGCUGGAGAAGACUCUUGAGAGUCCCUUGGACUGCAAGGAAAUCAAACCAGUCAAUCCUAAAAGAAAUCAAUCCUGAAUAUUUAUUGGAAGGACUGAUGCAAAAGCUGAAGCUUCAGUACUUUGGCCACCUGAUGCAAAGAACUGACUCACUGGAAAAGAC